rnacentral:rRNA from 1 species
CCUACGGGUGGCAGCAGUGAGGAAUAUUGGUCAAUGGGCGGGAGCCUGAACCAGCCAAGCCGCGUGAGGGAAGAAGGUACAGCGUAUCGUAAACCUCUUUUGUCAGGGAACAAAGGCGGGGACUAGUCCCCUGAUGAGGGUACCUUAAGAAAAAGCAUCGGCUAACUCCGUGCCAGCAGCCGCGGUAAUACGGAGGAUGCGAGCGUUAUCCGGAUUUCUUGGGUUUAAAGGGUGCGCAGGCGGCCUGUUAAGUCAGCGGUAAAAGCCCGGGGCUCAACCCCGGCGGGCCGGUGAAACUGGCGGGCGGGAGGGGGAGAGAAGUACGCGGAAUGCGCGGUGUAGCGGUGAAAUGCUUAGAGAUCGCGCAGAACCCCGAUUGCGAAGGCAGCGUACCGGCUCCACACUGACGCUGAGGCACGAAAGCGUGGGUAUCGAACAGGAUGAGAUACCCGAGUAGUC